ensembl:lncRNA
UUUUGGAAAUGUGGAGUCUUGCCUGAAAUAAAGUAGGAAAGAGACACCCUGAAAAAACAGUGAAAUUUUGCACAGGGUAUGGCACUACUGCCCAACAGCACAUUUUCUGCUGCUUCUCCUGACUGGGGAGAUGUUUCUGGAGGUAAGGUGCCAGAUUUUAAGAAACAUGGAUUCAGCUUGUACCUCUGAAAGCCUUGGACUGGUCUUGUAAACUCUUUGAGACUCAACUUUUCCCCUGAGGUGUCCGAGCAGAACCAACGUGUGCGGCCUCUCCUGGCUCACCCCUGCCAUCCCUCCCCAGCGCACAGAGUUUGUUCUGGUGAGGAACUGGGAUUACAGAGAUUAAGGAGACAUCGUGUGGUGGAAGCAAAGCCUCAGUGCGUGAGGAGAUAAAGGAGCUUUGGACAUGAAGUGAGCACAGUGUGGACUGGACAAACCAGGGACACAGAAGGAGGCUUGCACGCCCUGAAUGCACACACCGUCAGUAACAAAGGCAGCAGCCUCCACAAUUGGAACAAGUUGUGCUGGCCUAUUCGAAGCCCCCAUCCCUUCUAUUGCCGUGUGUGUCUCUCUCUGUACCAUGGAAGGAUACAGUGCAACCGUUAUUCUCUGCAAAACUACUUGUCAACUGCCCAGCGGCUAUAUAAACACUGCGGGAAAACGCUGCGUGAAUCUUUAAAAUCAUCAUCAAGUGCCUUUAAGCCACUGGCUCCCAUCUCGGGUUGAGAUCUAAUACUCUGCAUUAAAAAAGAAACAGCUGAAACACCACCUCGUUUUUACAGUCAGGAAAUAUCUUGUGCUUAUUGCCAUUAUCAAAAAUGAUUUUAGCUUAAACUGUGAUGCUGCAGCAUAGGACACACAAAAAGGAAAGGAUUUACUGCCUAAUGCUAAGUCAUGCUCUAUUUUACUAUGUAAGGAGCUAAUACAGUAAUGUAAUAUAGACAGAAUAUACUCAAAUAAAAGUUCACAUGUUCCUGCCAACUCUAAGCAAUUUGGCUUUGUGACUCAGGCAGCAUAAUUGUGAAAUUGGCUCAGAACUCAUUACACUGUUUUAUUUUUAUCUGUUUGUGCUGUUGUAUGCAUGCUUCAGGUUCAUUCCAUUUGCCUUAAGACUCCAGUUGCAUACUGAAGAUUUUUUUGUAUGUAAGUUGAUGGGCUACAAGGCUACUUUUUACUGCUGAGAGCAGAGAUUCUCUCACAACUCUACAUUGGGGCUUUAAGUGGAAUGUUAAGUGCCCCCAAACACAGAAUCAAAUGAGAUACUGUAACCCCUGACAGACACAAUGGCUCUACCCCAUCUAGCCACCACCCAUGUACGCUGUUCACCCCCAGUCUGCAGAGGAUAUGGGAUGAAAGUGAUGUACAAAAUGCCUUACAUUUGUUUCCUGAGAUGACACUGUGUAUGGAUUCUACUCACUUUGUCUUCAAAGACAGAAGAAUGUGAAAUUCAGAAACAUUAAUUACAGUGAGGAGACAAGU